rnacentral:rRNA from 1 species
AUUUAGAGGAAGUAAAAGUCGUAACAAGGUUUCCGUAGGUGAACCUGCGGAAGGAUCAUUAGUGAAUUGUAAUGGGGGUUGAUGCUGGGGGCUGUCUUUUCAGCUUCAUGUGCUCGCUCCUAAACAAUCCUUAUCCAAACACCUGUGCACCUUCUGAGAAAAAGGGGGGUCUUCCUAAGCUGACUUUUAGGGUUGGCCAUUCUGGGAUUACCCUUCUUUCCCUCAUUAAAAUACACUACUCUUAAUGUUGAACGUGUUUGUGCCAUUGAAGGCCUUUAACAUAAUACAACUUUUGACAACGGAUCUCUUGGCUCUCGCAUCGAUGAAGAACGCAGCGAAAUGCGAUAAGUAAUGUGAAUUGCAGAAUUCAGUGAAUCAUCGAAUCUUUGAACGCACCUUGCGCUCCCUGGUAUUCCGGGGAGCACGCCUGUUCGAGUGUCGUGAAAUUAUCAAGCUUGGAUGCUUUUUUGCGUCCUGUCUUGGUUGUUGGGCUUUGCCGUGUUACCAUUCUCAUUGGGAACGGCUGGCCUUAAAACUAUUAGCUGACUCUCUCCAUGGGGUAAUCGGUUCUACAUAGCGUGAUAAUAAUGAUUACAUAUAUUGACCGCUACGGACAUAACCUUCUCAUAUGAGUCGCUUCUAAUUUGGAUUAUGGGUUCUUUUGAAUCUGUUCCACUUUCAAUUUUGGCCUCGAAUCAGGUGGGACUACCCGCUGAACUUAAGCAUAUCAUAAG